rnacentral:rRNA from 1 species
GACGAACGCUGGCGGCGUGCCUAAUACAUGCAAGUAGAACGCACAGUUUAUACCGUAGCUUGCUACACCAUAAACUGUGAGUUGCGAACGGGUGAGUAACGCGUAGGUAACCUGCCUGGUAGCGGGGGAUAACUAUUGGAAACGAUAGCUAAUACCGCAUAAUAUUGAUUAUUGCAUGAUAAUUGAUUGAAAGAUGCUAUUGCAUCACUACCAGAUGGACCGUCGUUGUAUUAGCUAGUAGGUGAGGUAACGGCGCGUCUCGGCGACGAUACAUAGACGACAUGAGAGGGUGGUCGGCCACACUGGGACGGUGACACGGCACAGACGCCUACGGGAGGCAGCAGUAGGGAAUCUUCGGCAAUGGACGAAAGUCUGACCGAGAAACGCCGAGUGAGUGAAGAAGGUUUUCGGAUCGUAAAGCUCUGUUGUAAGAGAAGAACGGGCGUGAGAGUGGAAAGUUCACACUGUGACGGUAUCUUACCAGAAAGGGACGGCUAACUACGUG